rnacentral:rRNA from 2 species
GAUAUGAACCGUUAUAACCGGCGAUACCCGAAUGGGGAAACCCAGUGUGACUCGUCACACUAUCAUUAACUGAAUCCAUAGGUUAAUGAGGCGAACCGGGGGAACUGAAACAUCUAAGUACCCCGAGGAAAAGAAAUCAACCGAGAUUCCCCCAGUAGCGGCGAGCGAACGGGGAGGAGCCCAGAGCCUGAAUCAGCAUGUGUGUUAGUGGAAGCGUCUGGAAAGGCGCGCGAUACAGGGUGACAGCCCCGUACACAAAAGCGCAUGUGCUGUGAGCUCGAUGAGUAGGGCGGGACACGUGGUAUCCUGUCUGAAUAUGGGGGGACCAUCCUCCAAGGCUAAAUACUCCUGACUGACCGAUAGUGAACCAGUACCGUGAGGGAAAGGCGAAAAGAACCCCGGCGAGGGGAGUGAAAAAGAACCUGAAACCGU